GUGGGGAAUCUUCCGCAAUGGACGAAAGUCUGACGGAGCAACGCCGCGUGAGUGAUGAAGGUCUUCGGAUUGUAAAGCUCUGUUAAUCGGGACGAAAGAGCCUAGUGUGAAUAAUGCUAGGAAGUGACGGUACCGGAAUAGAAAGCCACGGCUAACUACGUGCCAGCAGCCGCGGUAAUACGUAGGUGGCAAGCGUUGUCCGGAAUUAUUGGGCGUAAAGCGCGCGUAGGCGGAUCUGCCAGUCUGUCUUAAAAGUUCGGGGCUUAACCCCGUGAUGGGAUGGAAACUACAGAUCUAGAGUAUCGGAGAGGAAAGUGGAAUUCCUAGUGUAGCGGUGAAAUGCGUAGAUAUUAGGAAGAACACCAGUGGCGAAGGCGACUUUCUGGACGAAAACUGACGCUGAGGCGCGAAAGCCAGGGGAGCGAACGGGAUUAGAUACCCUUGUAGUCC
rnacentral:rRNA from 1 species